rnacentral:tRNA from 1 species
GGGGUCGUGGCUCAGUGGUAGAGCACUCACCUAGAGUGUGUGAGGCACUAGGUUCGAUUCUCAGCACCACA